rnacentral:rRNA from 1 species
AUUGAACGCUGGCGGCAGGCCUAACACAUGCAAGUCGAACGGUAACAGGAAGCAGCUUGCUGCUUCGCUGACGAGUGGCGGACGGGUGAGUAAUGUCUGGGAUGCUGCCUGAUGGAGGGGGAUAACUACUGGAAACGGUAGCUAAUACCGCAUAAUGUCGCAAGACCAAAGAGGGGGACCUUCGGGCCUCUUGCCAUCGGAUGUGCCCAGAUGGGAUUAGCUUGUUGGUGGGGUAACGGCUCACCAAGGCGACGAUCCCUAGCUGGUCUGAGAGGAUGACCAGCCACACUGGAACUGAGACACGGUCCAGACUCCUACGGGAGGCAGCAGUGGGGAAUAUUGCACAAUGGGCGCAAGCCUGAUGCAGCCAUGCCGCGUGUAUGAAGAAGGCCUUCGGGUUGUAAAGUACUUUCAGCGGGGAGGAGGGGAGUAAAGUUAAUACCUUUGCUCAUUGACGUUACCCGCAGAAGAAGCACCGGCUAACUCCGUG